rnacentral:rRNA from 1 species
UACGUAGGGAGCAAGCGUUGUCCGGAUUUAUUGGGCGUAAAGAGCUCGUAGGCGGUUUGUCGCGUCUGCCGUGAAAUUUCGAGGCUCAACCUCGAACUUGCGGUGGGUACGGGCAGACUAGAGUGUGGUAGGGGAGACUGGAAUUCCUGGUGUAGCGGUGAAAUGCGCAGAUAUCAGGAGGAACACCGAUGGCGAAGGCAGGUCUCUGGGCCACUACUGACGCUGAGAAGCGAAAGCAUGGGGAGCGAACAGG